GACGAACGCUGGCGGCGUGCUUAACACAUGCAAGUCGAACGGAAAGGCCUGCUUUCCCUUGUGGAUUGCGGGUACUCGAGUGGCGAACGGGUGAGUAACACGUGAGUGAUCUGCCCCCAACUUGGGUAUAAGCCUGGGAAACUGGGUCUAAUUCCCGAUAGGACUGCAGGGUGGUGCCUGUGGUGGAAAACGAUUUUCUAGUGGUUGGGGAUGAGCUCGCGGCCUAUCAGCUUGUUGGUGGGGUAAUGGCCUACCAAGGCGGCGACGGGUAGCCGGCCUGAGAGGGUGGACGGCGACAUUGGGACGGAGAUACGGCCCAGACUCCUACGGGAGGCAGCAGUGGGGAAUAUUGCACAAUGGGCGGAAGCCUGAUGCAGCGACGCCGCGUGGGGGAUGACGGCCUUCGGGUUGUAAACUCCUUUCGACCGCGAGGAAGCCACCUGGUUGGAAGGGUGGUGACGGUAGUGGUAGAAGAAGCACCGGCUAACUACGUG
rnacentral:rRNA from 1 species